rnacentral:rRNA from 1 species
UCCCUACGGGGGGCAGCAGUGAGGAAUAUUGGUCAAUGGGCGCGAGCCUGAACCAGCCAAGUCGCGUGAGGGAUGACGGCCCUACGGGUUGUAAACCUCUUUUGUCGGGGAGCAAAUUCCGCCACGUGUGGCGGAGUCGAGAGUACCUGAAGAAAAAGCAUCGGCUAACUCCGUGCCAGCAGCCGCGGUAAUACGGAGGAUGCGAGCGUUAUCCGGAUUUAUUGGGUUUAAAGGGUGCGUAGGCGGAAUGCCAAGUCAGCGGUAAAAUCGCGGGGCUCAACCUCGCUCCGCCGUUGAAACUGGCG